GGUGAACGCUAGCGGGAGGCCUAACACAUGCAAGCCGAGCGGUAUUGUUUCUUCGGAAAUGAGAGAGCGGCGUACGGGUGCGUAACACGUGUGCAACCUGCCUUUAUCUGGGGGAUAGCCUUUCGAAAGGAAGAUUAAUACUCCAUAAUAUAUUGAACGGCAUCGUUUAAUAUUGAAAGCUCCGGCGGAUAGAGAUGGGCACGCGCAAGAUUAGCUAGUUGGUGAGGUAACGGCUCACCAAGGCGAUGAUCUUUAGGGGGCCUGAGAGGGUGAUCCCCCACACUGGUACUGAGACACGGACCAGACUCCUACGGGAGGCAGCAGUGAGGAAUAUUGGUCAAUGGGUGCAAGCCUGAACCAGCCAUCCCGCGUGAAGGACGACUGCUCUAUGGGUUGUAAACUUCUUUUGUAUAGGGAUAAACCUACCCUCGAGAGGGUAGCUGAAGGUACUAUACGAAUAAGCACCGGCUAACUCCGUG
rnacentral:rRNA from 1 species